GACAGAGGCCUCGAGCGUUAGGCGGAAUCACUGGGUUUAAAGCGUGUGUAGGCGGAUCGUUAAGUACCUUGUGAAAUCCCACGGCUCAACCGUGGAACGGCUGGGUAUACUGGCGGUCUUGGGCCAUUCAGGGGCGACUGGAACAAGCGGUGGAGCGGUGAAAUGCGUAGAUAUCGUAAGGAAGACCAGUGGCGAAGGCGGGUCUCUGGACAGUUCCUGACGCUGAGGCACGAAGGCCAGGGGAGCAAACGGG
rnacentral:rRNA from 1 species